rnacentral:rRNA from 1 species
GGUGUUCGGGUUGUCAUGCCAAUGGCAUUGCCCGGUAGCUACGUUCGGAACUGAUAAGCGCUGAAAGCAUCUAAGCGCGAAGCAGGCCUCGAGAUGAGUUCUCACUAGACUUUUAAAGUCUCUGAAGGGCCGUUGAAGACUACAACGUUGAUAGGCAGGAUGUGGAAGUGGUGUGAGCCAUUAAGCUAACCUGUACUAAUUACCCGUGAGGCUUAACCAU